AACAGAUUUAGAUUACUCCUUUGCUUUUCUUUCAGAAAGCAACAGAGUUCUGAAAUCCUAAUUUUCAUUCAGCUAGAUAUAUUAGAAAAAACAGUGAACAGGGGAGUUUGGAGAAUGUCCAGCCUUAAAAUUAAUGAGUGAGUGUGAUCCACAGAGAAAUAUCUUUAACCACAACUUGGCUAGACCUUAAAGUCUGCGUUUUUAUUGGUUUUGGCAUCUGGAAACUUUUUCUAAUGGAUUCACUUCCCUUGAGAUAGGUAGUGAAAGGAAGGUGUGUAGUCCUAAACUUGAACCUUUUGUGGGUUCUUUGCUUUCUUUUCUGAGGUCUAAAUAGCAUUAAUUACAUUGUAACCAGAAAAGCCAAUUGUCUCACAGUCUGACAGCAUCUGGGUUUGUUCCCAAAAUGUGAGUCCUCGUGCUAAGAAGAAAUUAAAUUCAGCUGGGACUUGUUCCAACACUGACAACAGCCUUGGGAUCAAUGCUGUAAUGGCUUUUGGCUCUCACUUCCCUUGAGUGUGGCUUGUGUAAGCUCAGAGAACCUGUUGAGCAAAAGACAACUAGUACCUUAAGCAGCCAUUGAAAUGAAUCAGAUGCAAAUGAAGGAGUCAGAGCAGGAUCCGAUAACUAAACUGAUAACUAAUCUUCACCUUCUCUGCAUGAUGGAUGGCAAUGCUGAGAAGAUAAUUACUACAGGUAACCACUAUGCUUUUUUUUCCCUCUCACAUUAUAUUGCAACAUGACUACAAAAAUCGGGGGGACUUCUGUGACCAGUAUCUUACCCAUGAGAAAUGGACUGCAAAAAAUGAAAUAACACAUAGAAAGCUAAAUGGACCUCUGCGCAUUAUUAUCCACCAAACCUAGCACUGGGUGGAUGAAGUGUUUUCUUUCUCUACAGCUAACAGAGCCAUGCAAAGCACAAGGCUGGGCGUUAAUGGGACAUCUGCCAUUAAGAGGCUGCUGCAGAUGGCAGAAGAAUGCAUUUUCUGAGUCCAGGCUGGCUUCAUAUCUCAUGUCCUAGCUAGAGCAGGAGAUCAUUUGCUGCAGUGAAAUAGAUGGGAUGGCUGAGGAUGUGAAGCUGUCACAGUAGAGGCAGAUAUGGACUGAGAUCAGAACAGGAGGCUUGCAGAUAGGAAUCAGAUUUGAGCAUCAAUGGAAGAUGUCUGGGCUGUCACACAAGGCGUAUCACAGUACAACGCUUUGACACAGCAUGGCACAUGUUGACUGCAGGUUUUCACCAAAGUGUAUGUAUUUCACAACAGGCAGGACUGCUGUUUUCUUCCCACAAGAGGGCCCUACAGCCUCACUCUCUGGACUAAGGAAUCUGUGAUAUUUAAGGGAGGACUUCUGAAUAACUGUAGUCCCACUCUGCCUGUAAGAGGCCACCAUGGGGUACAUAUAUUGUCACAUACUUGGCAAGAAAACAGUCCUGCCUGCUAUGAAUGUGUAAGUCAUCCCUGUGACUCCUGAGCCAGAGGGGUGGGAUUUGAGCCAUAGCAGAAGAAUAAGCCUCUGUUAAAGAGAAAAAAAUACUUUUCAGAGACCACCAGUUAGAGUUGAAGGGUGUGAUUACAUUUGAUUACAUUACGUUUUCUAAGUGUUGCAAUCUGGGAGGGACCUGUCUCAGCUUGUCGUGUAGAGUCACAAACAAAAGUAACCACAAGCUGGAGAAAAAACAUGUAGUAUAAGCAGGAUUGAUUUCAACAAGGCAUUUUGCAGUAAUGCUAUCCACUGGCAGGAUAAGCAGCAGAAAUGUUAGAGAUGUGAGACAGAUGAUUGCAGCCAGGCUCACAGGCACGUUUCCUUGGCUGGCAGUGCUGACAUGUGGUCACUAAAUGAAAAACAACUGGAAGAGGCACAGUGUAACCCUGGUUGGUCCCUCCCUCACCAUCUCUGGGCUCCCUGAUGGAAUAUUUCACUGAGGAGACUGUGAGGACUCCUGCCCAAGUUUGCAGAGAGGGUCACCCAAAGUCCGCUCAGAAAACUCAAUCCCAGCUUCUUGCAAUAUACAGACACAAAACUUGACUCCUGCUGCACAUCCUUGAGAUGUCAAAUAGGACCAAUGUCUUAAACAGGACAAUGCUGGUAAAAGGUUUCUACUUCCCCAAGUGUUGUUUCAAACCAAGAGCUGGGUGAUGCCUCCCAACUGUGAGCUAUGAAUGAAAACCAGCACAAGACACAUGUUGUCUGUGCCAUUUCUUCUCAUUCGUGUGGGCUGAUCUUGCUUUCUCUAAAAGGAAAUAGGAUCAAACUUUAAAAAUAAAGUUCCAGACCAUGCAAAUUAACUUAUUUUUUCCUCCUUAAGUGCACUAUUUAUACUACUUUUAAUACCAACCAAGAGAUUCUCUUACGAUUACAUUUUCAGUACUGGAGGAAAACCUAAUGUCAAGCAUUUCAUACAUUAUAUGUCAAAUUCUUCAACUACAUUUUCUUUUUUCUGCCUUAACUUCAAUAAACUAUUAAAAAUAUAUUUAAGGAUGGUUACCACAAUUGGAGUCACAUACAGUCACCUGACCAUGGGGGACUACGGUGGGUCUGUGGAUUCCCUGACAGAGGGCAUGGGAACAAAAAUUAGCCUUGAAGAUAUUAAGGCCUACCCAUGAGAAAGAUGGGAGUAAAGGAGUAUCCGGAGAUGUUAAGGAUGUACCCUUGAGAGAGAAGGGAGUAAAAAAGCAACAUUGAUGAUAGCAAAAAUAGCCAAUGAGAUGUUACUGCUGUAGCUUGUAACCAAUAGUGAAGAGACACAUGAAUUGGUAAAACGGUAUAAAAAUGCACUUGUGGCAAUAAAUAGAUCUACUACUUUCAUCCUGGAAGAACUUGGUCUAUGUCGUUUGUCCAUCUCAACCACGAUACCUGACAUAAAACACCAAUCAGAGGUGCACCACUAACUCCCUGUACCCUCUUGAACCUCAGUAACACCCUUUCAGCAAAACAAUGGGAUGGCACAACCUCAACCACAGCAUAAAAUUCCUCUUGUUGUCCUAACAUUUACGAGAAGGAUAUAAAAGUAGACUUGUAGCAGCUCUUAGGACUACAGAUCAGAACAGAUCCUUACAGUGUUUGUAGAACAGAUGAACAACAGACUCUUGAAGAGUAAAACAAGCAAGUGAACAGCACAUCCAGCUACUCUCAAUACACAUCAGUUUCAGGAAAAAUAAAUCUUUGUACAAAGCUGCACAACCAGUAUGGUCACCUAGAGUUUUUUUCACCAUGUAUAUCAUAUAUUGACUAAUUCCAAACAUUUUUUAGUUGGGUUCACUUCCAGAUACAAGGACGAACACCUAGUUAACUCAAAAGAACUUAGGGCUCCUUUAGGCGUGGUUGAAAAUGGUCACAAUUAAUAGCUUGUUCAAAGAUUACAGAACUAAUACUGUUGCCAGAUUACUGGUGCAGUGCAUUUGCCCACCCUUUUCUGCUGCACAACAAGUAUUUAUUCUGAUUCUAAAGAACACACAUUUUUCUUUGUUUAUCAAUGAUUGCAAUGUUACUGUGGAGAGUCGAUCUAGAAAGAAGAGGGCUAACAAUAGCUCACAGUGAUGUCCUUUUAAUACACCAUUUGCUUCAGACACAUAUUCGUAUUUCUGUAUAGAUCCUUUCACAUCGGCUAUACUCACAAGUGCUUGUUAAAGGCAAACAAAAAAAAAUUAUAAAAAGUUGCAGUUCCCUCUUUGCAUUGUGGUCCAUAUUUAGCAAGUCAUGUCUCAACUGCCUCUAGCCAUUUGUCCUGGUUUCAGCUGGAACAGACUUAAUUUUCUUCCUAGUAGCUGGUAUAAUGCCGUGGUUUGGAUUUAGAAUGAGAAUAAUGUUGAUAAUACACUGAUGUUCUGGUUGUUGCUAAUUAGUAGUCAAAGACUUUUCAUCUUCUCACACUGUGCCAGGUGCACAAGAAGCUGAGAGGGAGCACAGCCAGGACAGCUGACCCAAACUGGACAAAGGCAUAUUCAACACCUUGUGACAUCAUACUCAGUAUAUAUUCUGGGGGAAGCAGGCUGAGCAUCAAAAACCAAGUGGUCAUGGUCUUCAUGGAGGAUCUGAACCAACCCAAUAUCUGCUGGAAGGGGAACACAAGCAGUCCGGUAGGUUUCCGGAGUGCACUGAUGAUAAUGAGGCACUCCCUGGAUCUGACAAACAAGUAAGAACCAGUAGGGAAGGUGGAGGUCAAGGACCAGGCUUGCUGCAGUGACCAAGAGACAGGAGACUACAGGGUCUGAAGAGAACAAGUCAAAUAGCAGGAUCGUUACCUGGACUUUAAGAGAGCGGACUUUGUCCUGUUCUUUGACUUGCUAGGACGAAUCUCCAGGGUAUCCUGGGGAGCAGAGGGGCUCAGGAGAGCUCGCUGAUUUUCAAGCAUCACCUCCUCCAAGCUCAAGAUCGGUCCACACAAAUGUGCAAGAAGUCAAGCAAAGUGGGAUAGGAGGCCUGUAUGGACAAAUAAAUAGCUCGUGACAAAACUCAAACAAAAAAAAGUAGGUCUAUAAGAAGUGGAAGCAGAACUAAGUAACUCAGGAGUAUUGAGACACUAUCCAUGUGCAGUGAUAAGAUUAGGAAAGCCAAAGCCUGCCUGAACUUAAAUCUUAUGAAGGAUGUGAAGUGCAGCAAGAAAGGUACAUAGGUAGCAAAAGGAAGACUGUGGAAAAAUGAUCCCACUGCUGAAUGAAGCAAGGGAUGCAGUGGCAAAGGGCAUGGAAAAGGCCAAGGAACUCAAUGCCUUCUUGGCCUUAGUCUUCCCUGGCAAGCCCAGCCUUCAGGAACUGCAGGCUCCUGAGACCAGUGUGAAAGUCUGCAGCAAGGAAGACUUAACCUUGGUGGAUAAGGAUUAAAUUAGGGAACAUUUGAACAUCUCCAUUUUGGACAUAUUUAAAACUCAACUGGACGUGGUCAUAAGCAACCUAUUCUGGUUGCCCCUACUUUGAGCAAGUUAUUGAACUAGAUCGUCAGUGGUGCCUUCCAACCUUAAGGAUUCUGUGAGAGUUCAUUUUUCUUAGCCUUCUCCACCUUUAUAUCUUACUUUUCCAAUCCAGCUAUCAUUUUUUUAUUUUUCUAAUGUAGUACCUCUUGCACUGGCCAAGAAAGAGAUAUAUCCUUAGGUUAUACAGUGGCAUGAUGAUAUACCUUUUUUUGCUCCCUGUUCAUCUCUGCUCUAAUCAUCUCCAAACUUAAUUUGCUUUUUUGAUCAGCAUUGAACUUAGGGCAACAUUUUUGCAUACCUUGAUUCCAAGACAGGUAAGAUAGCACUAAUCACUGUGUACUUUAGCUGCAGUUGUUUCUUUUUUCUCCACCUAUGUGCAUCAUUUUGCAUUUACUGACAUUAAAUUUCAUCUGCAAUUUUACUGCCAAAACACUAUGUAUCGUGAAAUCAGAUGGAUUUCAUAACUUCAAAGAUUUCUGACUUUCUUAAAGCACUUCCUAUUUUUCUUGAGCUUUUCUACCUUGCACCUUCACUUGUCCUUUUAUUGUUGAUCGUGUCAGAUUUGUGAAUGACAGCAUUCUCAGCACAUUUCCUUGGGAGUGACCACUGGUAAUUCUCCACAUCAUAAGAGUUCUCAGUAAUUCCCACACUACAAUUUAACCAGAUGUUAAUAAUCCAUGAAAGGAUGUUUCAUCUCACCCCAAGAUGAUUUAGUUUUUCUUACAGUCUUUAGUAAAAGACUAGGUCAAAGGCUUUUUGGAAAAACAGUUCAACAAUACCAAUCUCAUACAUGAGGAAUUCUUCAAAGAAAUGCAAUGCAAUUUUCCUUUAUAAAAGUUCAAUUGGGCUCUUCUUCAGAAUAUAACUUUUAUGUAAGUCUAGUAAUUCGAGUUGUUCGUGUUAUACCUCAAGCAAUUUGUAAGUGGAGAUCAGAUUUAGUGCUCUGUAACCUCAGCAGUUUACCUUAGACUUUUUAAAAGAACCUUGGUGUCACCUUCAUUUCUCUGGUAUCUCAAAGGUAAUUUCAAAACACCAUAAAAUUUACAUACUAUUCUAUAUUAAGUUAUAUUUAAAAGACUCUUAGAAACAGGCCAGUGAUUAGCAGCUGAAAUGUUGAUUUUUCACAAGGGCUGAAUUACUUUGUGGAUUAAGUAUAGUUUUUAAACUAUGACUCUUGUAGGGCUUUUUUUGAAACACAGCAAUAUCUCAUUGCAAUAUUUUAUCAGAGUAUUUCAAAGCAAAAUUACACUUUGUGAAAUCACUAUAUCUUUUGGAUAUAUAUAAAAUCAAUUUUUAUCAUUGCUGUCUCGUUCACAGGUGAAGCAAUGACUCAUUCAAGAGCACAAGAGUCAGUGCCAGAGCCAGGAAUAAAUACAGACAUCCUACCAUUCAGCACCUUGCACUAGACAUUAGGUUGCAUUUUCUUUCCCAAUUUAUUACACUGCAAGACUGAAGAAAACUGGAAAGCAUUUAAGUGUGUCCCUGUCUUACAAGACAUUUUCCUAUGAACCCUUCUGGAUUUUCAUUUUGACUGUGGCUCAUUAAAACUGUGCAGAAAAAAAAAAAUAAUAAUCUUAAUUCCACGUACACAAGAUAGUCUUAAUGAAAUUAGUCCCCAAUCACUUUCCUAGUACCUAACCGACAUUUUUUAAAUUAGGCUGGCCAAAGUUUACCUACAGUGUUAUUCUGGCAUAUGGUUUAUACUGCCAGCAAAGAUGCAUUCUGGCUGAGAGAGAGUAUGAGCUGUUUUUUCUCCCAAACAAAGCAAGGGUGGAUACAUACCUAACCUGUAAAUUCUGCAACAAAAUACGAGACUCUCUGAGAACUAGUGAAUGUUGAUAUGGACUAGCAGCUCUGACUCUAAUCUCAGUGCAACAAGGGUUUUGAUUAACCUGUCUCAUAAGACUUACUCAGACAUGUAAUCCUACGUGUGUUAGAUGUAGAAAACUUAUAACAAGAAUUCUGUAUUUGCUGGACAAGAAUAUUUUGUAAUCUGUACAAUCAUUGGUAACGAUGCAGAGCAUGUGCAACAAGAAGUAGCUCAGACCGUGUAUUUUUAUUGGAGUCUUCUUCAUUUGACAUCCAUGAAUCAUUUAUAAAAUCUCCUUUCAUCUGCAAUUUACCUUGGAAUUUCCAGAUUCCCUCUCUUUUGUGACAGAAAGCUCCAGAUGAUCUGCCAAGUACUCCGUUCUUUUAAUCAACCAGUGGGUAUUUACAACACGUAGUCAAAGUGGAUGUAUCAUGGUAAAUUAUACCAGCAUUUCCAAUUUAACAUACUGGCCCUUUUCCAAAUGGUGUAGCAGAACAAUAAAUUUCCUAUCUGAUUUCCAUUUUGCCCAGUGCUUACAUUAUUAACCGUAGAAAUAUUUUUGCCAGGAAUAACUGACUGCAAGUAGCACUUGCACAAGAUUUCACAUGCAAUAACUUGAUCCACAUAGUAUUCUAUACGGUUUUGAAUAUUUUGAUACUGUUCAGAGCACCAGAGAAGCUAUUGCUUUUCUAAUUGUUACUACUGAAAAUCCUGCACACCAAGAGAAGUGAGGUAAAGGUGGACACAAGUACAAAAAAGGAAAUUAUUAUUAAAAUAGCACUGCCUGUGUACAUGCUGUACCCUGCUCCUAGACGCUUACAUUUGAAGGUCAAGAGCUGCUAUGUCAAAACCUUUUGGCUUUUUCAAUACUAGCAAACACUGCUCUGGUAUCCCUGUAAUAUAUACAUGCAAAGGCUGCCAACUUUUGCAAUUCUAUCUCCAGUCUCAUCCUAUUCUGUAAUUUCCUGCCUGAAGGCCCCAUUGGUGGAACAGAGAUCUUCCCCAAAGCUCCAGCUUUCACUUGUAAGGUAAGUUUCUGUCCCCCAUGGCUAGACAAAAAAAGCUUUAAGAGGAAAAACAUGUGCCACCAAAGGAUGAGGACAGAUUGGCAACUAAACAGAAUUCAUAAUAUGCUGUUAUAAAAUAAUUGCUUGAUUCUGCCAGGCUUGGUUUGUGCAUAUAUGCUGGUAGAGCCUGCUUGGCACCUGUCAAUCAUAUAGUGCACCUCAAAACAUCAACUGUCCAAAGGUGUCUGUGCAGUCCUCUUCAGAAAUGAACAUGUGUCCCUAUAUUUAAAGGGAGAUAAACAAAUUAUCUUAAUUAGCAUGCAAUGUUGGUUAAAAUUUGAAGAGCAUUUAAGUUACUGGGCAUGGAUAAGGAUUUUCCUCUAGAUACUCCAUGUCUCCCACUUUAGGAUUUUUUGGUUCAUGGCUGUCAUGCAGCUGGAAACCAAAUUUUCUGAUUGCCCCUAUUUACUACAUGUUUGCAGAGUAGUUUUGGUGCACAUGGACUAGACCCCUUUCAGAAGAAAUUAAACCAUGUGCACACCAGAGCACUCCAGCCCUUUGUGGAGGUGGGAGGUGUGACUGGUUCUGCAGACAGAAUCAAUUCCUGCACACAGAGGGACAAUCAGCCCAGACAAUAAGACCAAGUCUAGUCCCAAGGUAAAGCCCAGAAUCACACAAAGUGCAGACAGAAAGUCUCAGCACCCACUGCUUUAUCUACUGAUUCUCUCUUACUGCUCUGAAAUAAGAAUUACUGACAUAGAAGUGCAACGCAUUUGCCAUUCUCCAUUUAACUAAAAGAAGGCAAAGAAGGUAACCAGUAAACCCACAAAACCAUGCUGAUGCCAACCAAGCUUGCUCCAUUGCCCGUCUCCUCCAGCUCUGGGGUCAGCAGCCCUGCAGGAGUUGCACUGAUGGCACUUCCCUGAAAAUCACCUGAGACAUACAAAUUCAUCCUUCCUCUUGGGCAUCUCCAAAGACUUUAGACAUCUCUCUUUAGACUGCUAAACCCAGUCCUGCCUGACUACUGCGACAACAUUACAGCCCUCUGGAAAGAAAUACGACUGAGUUCUUCCUUCCUCACUUGGGACUAUUAACAGAGAAUGGUUAAUAUUUUGCUACAAAGCUCUUGCAACAUGAGUAGUCAUCUGUCCCUCUGUGCUGUAUGUCCCUGACCGUCCCCUUCUGCCCCCCUGCUGCUUUUUCCCCUCUCUGUACAGAUGUACCAGGUGCAAGGUGCGGGAUAUUAGGGAACCAGGCAGGAGAGCAUCUGAGCCAUUAACUCAGAUUUUCUCUUCUAACAUCAGAAGAUUCAGCCAAAUAAUUACAGCACACAGCUGGUGCCUGCUAAUACACUUUAAAUUUGAUAAUCUGUCCAGAAGCGAAGAACAUUUUUAUUCAGUGCAGAUUGGAAAGACAAGGCAAGAGAAUUGAAUGAGACAAGGUGUUUUCAACAUGAUCUUUUUCAUUACUGUGCUUCAGCUCUAUUGACUUUAAGACUAGAGCAACAACUAGGAAAACAAAAGUCUUCUUUUUCAUCUUCGGAAGUUACAUAAUUUAACAAUACUGUCUCUUUUUUUUCCUCCAGACUUGCAGAGUCUUAGCAACUCCUCUCUGUCAAAACAAUGUCUGCUCUCAACACCAAAUUUUCUUAAUUGCCCCACCUGAAGCAGAAAUGUGCCAAUUAUGUUCUUGUCCUGAUUAUCAGACAACUCACUGGAAUACGUUGUACUAAGUGAAAUUCACUUCUGAAGACAGGCCUGUGUGAUGAACAUUUUAAAGAGAGAGAGAUAGAGAAAGAAAGGUGUGAAAUCAAGUCAUAAUAGCAGCUGUCAAAGAGAAGACAAAGCAGCUCUGUUGUGGCAUAGACAUUGGUGCUCAGGGAGGUCCAUAUGGGCCUUCGUGUUCUCCUGGAGCCCCACUUGAUCCAUACCCUUUCCUCACAGAGCCACUGAAGGCUUCAGCCCAUAGAGAGGACACUUGAACCAGAGAUCCCAAAAGCACUUGUGCAAAUAUUUUUCUGGUAUCCUGCCAUGGCUGAGAAAUACAAGUGAGUGUCACGCUGUGGCAGGAUGUAAACCCCCCUCUCUCCCCCUCCCUCCUUCAUCACUGAAGGAGUAGGCACAUCUCCCUCUCUCUCUGCUGCUUGAGGCUAACAGCUUCUUUUGUAUGGCCCCAGAGCACCCUGGCCAGGGCCAUUAGGAGAAGGGAGUGUCUAGGCACCGCUGAGCCGCUGGGCACCUGCGGCCAGUGUGGGGGAUGUUUGGAGGCUUCAGGGGCACCCACAGCCAGUGUGGGGGUGCAGAGAAGCUUCUGGAAUGCCUACAGUCAGAUCUGAUCAGCCUAUAAAAAACGGGACUCUCGUCGAGACUCCGCCCAUUGUCGCGGGUCUCUCGGAGCACGAGCAAGAUGCUGCCACUGAGAGCCCCCCUCCCCGGGAUGGGGACUCCACUUGCCUCGCCGCCACGGCUGUGAGUAAAACUUCUCGCAGGAUUGCGAGUAUAUUUAUACUUUCCGUGCACAUUUGCACGUGUAACUUUCCGUGCUCAAUACAAGCACAUGUAUAAAUUAUUUCCUCACACAAUCGUGAGUGUAUUUUACUUCCUGUGCUUCCACAUAAGCACGUGUAAUAUUCCAUGCACAUUUGCACAUGUAUUAUAAAUUUACCCUCACAGGAUUGCGAGUGUAUUAUAAAUUUACCCUCGCAGAAUUGCGAGUGUACACUUUCCGUACUCACUACGAGUACGUGUAUCUCUUUAAAAUAAUCCCACACCGAGUACAGGCAAGUGUGUACUCCUCCAGGACUCAGGGACGGCUCCGGCAUUGUUUUGGGUGAAGCCAUAUGCAUGCACACUGUGGACCGCCUAUUGUAUUAGUUGCUGCCCCUUAAUAAUUUUCCUCAGCUGAUAUCCGAACGUGUAUUUAAGUCACUUUUGGAGUGCUAAAACCCUGUUUCUCACCGGUUUAAUAAUAAUUGUUUUGGACCAUGUUGUUCCUCAAACUAACCUCGGAGUGCCUCCGUGACACACGUUGCCCACUGUAUCAAGAAAGAGAACCAAGAAAGAGAAAAUGCAACAUUUCCCAUGAAAACAAAGAUUCACUCCCUCUUUCUGUGCAACGUACCCAGGGAUGGAGGUGUCCCAUUCUGAGAACCACUGGUGGGGCUGAAAGGAGUCUGUGAUUCUGUGAUGACAAGCCAGCAAGUUGGGGACAGCCCAGUGUAGAGUGACUCUCACAGCAGAAACAUUAAAUGACAACAGACCAAUGCUUCUUCACUAUCCUAAUGCUCAUCCUCCCCAGAUGGACCUGCCGUGUCUCCAGCUGUUCCUGCUCAAAAUGCUACAGGAUGAGAAGGUGAGGGUGAAGCUUGUAUCCCCAGAAGUGUUGGUAGGAGAUGUCAGUAUGAGGUAAUGGAGGGUCCAGCAGACUUGCACAUCUUACAGUCAACCUCAGUGAGGAUCUGAUGACACUGAGCACCAUUUGUGAAGUUGUUGAUAGCUUGGGAAGAUGUUCAUUCACUGGGAAUAGCGAAGGAGCAUUGUAAAGUAGUAGCCUUUGCGUUCAGGCUUAAGAAACAUUUUAAAAAUAGACCAGAAGGAUAUCAAAGAAAGGGGGGGGAAAAAAAAAAACACACACAAAACAAACAAACAAACAAACAAACAAAAACCAACACAAACAAAAAAAAAAAAAACAAAAAAAAAAAACCCACUAAAAUAUGUGUAACAAAAUUGAAUCUUCACAUGAGUAAAAGAUUUGCAAAGCUGCAGUUAUUUAAAAAUAGGCAAUUUUUUAGCUGCAUGAAAAUACUUAAAGCUACUAAAGAAAAAUAAGGACAUUUUACUUAAUUAUAUUUUAUAUUUAAAGGUUGUUUAUUAAAUAGUCCAUUUGGUUAUUUUAAGUAGCCAUGCAUAAAAUGCCUCUACAGAAAACCUGUAGAGAGGCAAAAUGACAUCUCAAAGCUGCCCAGUUUCUGCCAUAAUUAUUCAAGGCUCCAAGCUGUUCCUGGUUCAAGAGAGCUGCUGACCCAGCGCUCCCCAGCCUUGGAGGGCGGGUCCCUCCUUAGAUUAAAUAGCUUUUUUCCAAAUACUUUUCAUAAUGCUUCUUUGUAGCACUUACAGUUUAACCCGCCGUUUGCCAGAGACAGCCCACUUAAGGGAACAGUUUGUGGCACGGACAAGCUGAGAAGUGAAGCAGUUUGAGAUCCUGUUGCUCUGAUCAGGGACAUAAAGUUCAGUGUAGCAGAAACACUCCCUGCCAUUCCUGUGUGCACUUAUGUAUUUCAGUCCAAGGAACCUGAAUUUGUCCCAUGCCAUAUAUUCCCCUACACCAUACACCCCCCCACACACACACACAUACAGUCCUUAGCCCUCUUGCAUUCCAGAACUUCCAUUAGUGGCCUACAGGGGCCAUUUAGGAGCCUACAGAGCUUGUGCUCAGGAAAAAAAAAAUACAAUAGCAAACACACACACACCAAAAAGAAAAGAGACAGGCCGACGAUUGCUUGGAAAAAUAUUUUCCACAGAGGAGCGGAGGGACAAUUUGGAACCUGAGGUAAUGAAGCAAGGUAGUAAAAAAAAUGUGAAGCAAAAUUGGAGAAGUCAUGUUCACAAGCAAGAAGUCAGGCUAAGUUCUCUGAUCCUACACAGCGUGCAGAGACUAGCAAACCCCGGCAGGAAUAAAUGCAUUUUAAAAUUAACUAAUUCCAGCUCCCUUUUUCCUUUGCAUAUCUGUCAUGAUCAGAAGUUGGACCUAAGGCUAUCUAUUGCAGUAGAUGAUAUCUUCGCUAGAGUGGCUGAGGGAGCUACAUGGCUGUGGAAGAGAGCUCUGCACUUCUUUAGGUGAUAGUGAUGGGCAUGCCGCAGACCUUGGUGAGCAAUGAAAAUUUCAGUUUGCUUUCAAAAUGUGAUUAGAAGUGCAGUCAAGCACCAUUUAUCCAUCUAAACAAGCUCCAGCUCUCCUGACAGUUUGUCUGCUCCUACUUUUGUUAUUUAUUAGUAUAUAUUACUGGGGUUAUAGGAAUACCUAGCAGUUUGAACCAAGGAGGAGUUCUCAUUAUCAGAGGUGUUGUACAAGCACACAGCAAGAGACUGCUCCUGCCCAGAAAGCACCUGAUCUGAGCAGAAAAAACAGGCACGUGCUGGGAAAAGCAAAUUGACACAAGGAGGGAAAGAAGUUUGUUCUGCAGCAGAGCCAGGAACAGUGAUUGAACAGCAAGCACCCUUUUUACACUUAGGCCCAGGGUUUUCAAGCCUUUUCUGCCUUGUUGGGACAAUUUGCAUGUAAAAGAUCCCACCUGUGUUUUUACACAUGGGAACAACUGUGGUCUGCAACUUCAUUAGUGAGUUGGCUAAAUUCCUCUUCAUUCCUCACUGGGUUUUUUGGACCAGUUUCCAGCUGAAUUAUGUCAUUAAUUUGUGUUGUUGAACAGUCAGCUCCUCCCAAAUAUGUUUUGAAUCUUUUAGCUUACAGCAACCAAAUUUACUAGAGGGAUAAAUGCCUCAAUGUUAUUAAGCUUCUGGCCAGUUCUGUAGAAGUACUAAGUAAUUAGAGAGAGAGUAGAGACCUCAUUAACACCCCCACCAAAAGAAGGACAAUACCGUGACCUCAGCUCCUUUCAGAAAAUGGGCAAUUCCCAUGGAAGUUCAGCCUCAAAACACAAACCAAAUUCUGAUAUUUGGAUGAUUUGGCCCACAAAAGCAAAACAAAAGAAAAUAAAAGCCACAUCAUGUUCAUUGCAAAAAUUUGUCAUUUUACCUUCUCUCCCAGGGGUCCCACCCUUUCUCAAAGAAGAGCCUAUGAUAAAUGUUACUCCUGGCUGCACUGGGACAAUCAGAGCUGGUGUGCUCAUCGCCAUGCCUUGCUUCCUUACAGAGCAUCCCAAAACACAUCCUCCGCAGUGUGCAGAGGAUGCAUCCUGAAAGAAUGUUGUAAACACCACAUGCAAACCAUCUGCCUUCUCCACUACAGCCAGAAGUGCUGGAUACCGAUACCAAUGCUGCUGAACAACUCUCCAGUGCUCCCACUAUUUUUCAGAUGCUUCAUAUGCAACAUGAGGCAGAAAAGGAAGACAGCUACAAAUGGAAACUCCUGAGCAUUACAGAGUUUUCAAUAUUUCUUUUUGAAACUGACUCUGCAAAGCAUUUGGUGUAGGAAAGCAACAACUCAGCCAGAAAAAGUCAUCUUGUGGGUGAGGCACAGAAGGACUUUAUAUAUGGGAACCUCUGGGAAAGACACUGAAGGGUUCGUGUGACUCAGAAGAGCAACAGAGACAAACAACAAGAACAAAAUAUGCUGAUUUGUUUGAAGUUGCAGCCUUAAUGACAGAGAAAACUUCAGAAUAGAGGCACCUUCUUAUUGCUUCACUGUCCUGAAAAGCUCAUUACUUUCCCAUCCAUGCAACUGGGAACCUGAAAAACACCAUGCCACCAGGAAAAUUUUGUGCCUGUGUUUCAGGACAGUGGGACAUGUUCUGCACAGUUACCAGUACAAAAUUCAGUAUGUGGCACCACCUUCUCAGCCCAGCUGACCUUCCUCCACAAAGCACUGUCCUCAGCAAGCAAAUGACAAGUUUCAUUUCUGAGAAAUAAUGGAUUACAGGUAGAGAAAGGAUUAUGAAACAGGAGAACUGGAUGGAUUUAUUUGUGCAAAACCUGCUCAGCGGGGUAUUAUAUUUGCUUUUUUUUUUUUUUUCCCAGAGUUUAGUUUGACUCCAGCAUUUCAGCCAAUCAGAUGGGCAGUCUGGUAACUCCGAGGGAUUUGGAGUGAGCAGUUCCAGCACUGAGCUGUCUCCCAAAGGCAGCCAGCAGAAAGUGAAUCAGCUGCUAACCUAACAAAAAUGGCCAAGAAUAGAAAGUAGAUUUCCAGCCUUCCUGCUUUGCAGCAGUUUUGUUUUUCCUUGCAAUGGCAGCGGUGAUUACCUUAUCUGUGCAUACCAGCCAACCACACAAUCCAGAAAAAGCCACCAUCCAAGAAAUACCCAUUUAAUAAGUCUUGGCAUAUUGAAUGCAGACCCAGGAAGGCAGGAUGUAGCACAAGAAUAUCUUCCUUCAGACAGGCUCUGCAGGGACAAAUACAAACCUGCAGAUAUGAGGAAAGCAAAAUUUCAGGAAGGGAGCAUCCAGUAGGAAACCUACCCUCUCUGGAGGGCUUUGCAAAAGUCUGUGUUCCUCCAGUGGGUGAAAGUUUCUUUCCACUCACUGGCAUUGUAUAAACAUGGGAUUUGGUCUCCAAACCCCUAUCCCGAGUUUGGGGCAUAUUUUUGCAUAGCCAUGCUGUCUCAGUAGAUGGCUAUGUGAGCUUUAUACUCUCUCCCAUGUCCCAGCUCAUCAGGUGUCCCCAUGGCUCCCAGAGAGCUGGGUAACAUCUUCCCCCAUAGGACCUUCAACUAUUUCACAUAUUUGGUGACUGAAAGUUAGCAGUACCACAGGAUCUAGAAAAGCUUGGCCAAAUAGAGACAGCGAUUGCGUGAUUGUUAUGUAUAAACACAUCAGGAGGUAGGUUAAUCACCAGUGGAGGGGAAGAGCUAUUUAAUGAAAAGAAUAUGUUUGCAGAAGAGCAAAGGGUUAUGAGCUGUCUGUCCAUGAAUAAAUUUAGGCUGAAAAUUAGUUGAAGGAUUCUGCUCAUUAAGGAAGUGGGAAUCGAAACAACCCCAAAAAGGGAUGACAUUUAUAAAAAUCCCAAGACAGGACUUGAUCCAUUUCAGAGGGUAUCACUUUUAGGCGGGAGAGCCUGCAGCUGGGGAGUUCUGGACCCAGAAGCACACAAGGUCUCUGCUCUUCCAAGUUCCUAAGCUCUUGAAGCCAGUGUGAAGGAAAAAACUAAACACAUAGGCUUCAUUCUUAUCUCAGUGCUAACCAUAUGCCCUAAAACACAGAGAAAGGGACUUGCAUCUCAGCAAGGAAAGGGGAGAAACACAGAGAGGUGCUGUUGCAUUCUAAGGAUGGGCUGGACCUCUUCUUCACCCUGGCUGGAGCACAGUGCACAUUGUAGCGAUCAGAGACCACUAUAAAAACACCCUAGAACAAGCACAUUGAUUCCUGAUGACUGUUUCACAACUGACUACCUAUUUGUUGAACUAUAAUGCUUAUAUGUAACAAAAUGCUAUUAUAAUAUCAUUGAAGUAGUCAUUUUUCCUCUGCCUCAUUACUAUUAAUCUUAGAAGGACACUGCAUUUCUAUUACUUAUCAUUUGUAUUGCAGCGAUAUCUAGAUGUUCCCAUUAUAUCAGGCCUCCAUGUGCUGAGCUUUACACAAAUGCAUGCAUGACAAUUCUUUCCCCCUCCCCGCAGAAUGUCUAAAGCCUGUAGGAUUUUCCAUCUGCAAUGUUGUAGCAGUUAAAGGCCAAUCAUGCAAACAGCUCUGAAGCUGUAAAAAUGGAUAUAUAUAUAUAUAUAUUUCAUUGUGGCAUGGCCAAGCAGUCACUUCCACUCCGACAGUGAAGUGCUGAACAACCCAUGUUUCCCACCUUCAAAGCUGUUGGUUCCCAGCAAAGCCCUCAGCAGAGGUGAAGCAAAGACACUUUUUCCUACAGUGCCUUAGCAAUGUCACCCUGUCUCUCAGUGGAACACAACUCAGAGGCAGGACCUCCACACGUUUCCAAAACGUUCAUCUGACCUCACCAUUUGAAUGACGUGGGAAGAGGCUUGAACUUUCCUGAGCUAAGGCACCGUGUACCUGAGGGCUCAGUGCAUGCACAGGGCUCUGACCUCUGCAAUUACAGAUGUUUGCACUGAUUUGAGCUGAGAUAGGACAACUUUAAUUUUUAGUUAGAUCAAAAAAAAGGCAAAAUCAUCAACAAAUACUUAAGUGCGGAGAGAACAGGGUAAAGCUACCACUGGAAGUGAGAUUCUCUAUUGCCUUGUAUCUUGCAUAGUGUCCCAGUUGGAGACUGUCUUUCUCCCAUCAGGCGGUGUUAUGUACUGCUUUGCCCUGAAGAAACUGACUGCAUAAGGUUCAGUGAAGACCCGACCCCAAAAUGGUUUGGACCAGCAGAGUGUGCGUGAAGCCUUUAAAGCAACUGCAUAAUCCCACCUGCUAUCUGCCACCAGCAAGUUUCCUCUCACCUUACAGCAGAGGUGAGCUUUAAACCUGAACUGCAGCCUUACCGUACUUUUACCAGCAGUGAUUAUCCCAGCGCCCACUGUCAUCAGACAUCAGCUGCUUAAAGAGAGCAUCUUUGAGGAACAGUGUCUGAGACCGAAAACAAGCACGCAGAUUUUUCAGGCAAAAAAAAAUUAACGUAGCUCAUCAGAGAGACAGGUGGCAGCUUCCCUCCCUACAGGCACCACGGGGGCUGAGUUUGCUCAGCUCCCUCUCUCUGUACUUUGAUGUAUUCCAGCAGCUGUAAGAAAUUAAUUCAAAUUAAUUAAAACUCUUGCAGGGACAAAGAAUCCAGAUGAAAACUACAGCACUGGGGUCAAUCUGCCAUUUGAAACUUGGUGAUGUCAGAGACAGGGAAGCAGCACCCUUUCACUCUGAAGCCGCACUUGUUGGAUGUAUCAUAGAUAUUUGCUGAGAGGCCAGAAUAGGCCUUGUCAGCAAAGGAAAUAAAAUCAGGAUCCAAAGUUCCUUCUCUACAACCACAGCAGUGUCAUCCUUUUGAUUUACAGUGAUCAAAAAUUAGCCCAGCAUAUCCAAGCCCUGAGUGCCAUCCUUCCCUAAGCAGCUUGAGGAGGCUCCUUGCCAUCAAUUUACCCAGCCCAUCAUGAGUUGUUCCAUGACCAACUUCAACAGGAGGAAGAGCAGCUCAACUUUUUUGAAACAAAUGGACCUAAGACUAGUAUCCAUCAUAAUCAUUGCAAGUUUAAGUGAACUCGUGUCUCUAUUGCGCUUAUCCAGCUGGUUAUGUCAGUUGUUCACGUUGUUUUAGGACCCCUCCAAUGAAUAUGAUACUGUACAUAGGACUUGGGGGGAUUGAACAUUGAAGGAAGAGCAGCUGGGGUGGGUAUCCAUGUGCUGUUGUUCUGCACUGUCAGCACCAAUCUCUUCUCAGCUGUGCAGCAGGCAGCCGCUACAUUCAGCAGGGAUGCUGCAGGACAUUUUUCCUCCUAAACUUUGGAAGUAGAAGACUUUUUCAAGAAACCCGUGCCCACUAAUUUCAAACUUGCUUUCAUGAACAUAGUACUAAUGUGCCCAAAGAUAACAACCUUCAGAAUAAGAAAGAAUCUGUAUGGAUUUUUUAAUUAUUAUUUAAUAUCAAUCUGCAUUUUUAAAUGUCCUUUCAUUUUUCACCUGGAUGACCCUUUACAACUACAGAAUUGUUUAUCCUUUCUUGCAUAAAGUGCCUCAAAUGGAGAAUAUAUUCAGUUUUCACAAUAAUACUGCUGACUUAGUGAUACAGGACAAGGAAGGAGUCAGAAAACUUGGGUGCUGGUCUUCUUUUCCUCCUCAGCUCUGCUUCAGUUUGCCUAAUAACUGUGUGCAAAAAAGUUACGUAUGCACUGGUGGCACAUUCUAUUCAUGGUUACAAAGCGCCUUAAGUUUUGUUGACUGAAAGUAUUAGCAAAGGCAAUAAAGCUCUUACAACUAAAAGAGAACUUGUUCCUCUUUCCUGCUCUUUUACAGGAAAACUGAGGCCAAUAUUCAAAUAACUUCUCUCUAUGUCCUGUUCUGUAUGGAGGAGAUUUUAACUCUGUAUGGAGGAGAUUUUAACAUGGAGAGGCAUUUGAAUCCAUGAACCUGACAGGGUCUAUACUUACUUAUGGUACCCUGGCCCCCACUUUGCCUCACACUCUGAAAAACGAUAUAUCUCAAAAGCCUAGACCCCAAAUGAGCAAAGUAUCAUAAGGUCAUAAUAUUAAACACCAAAGUCUCAAUUUCAUGUAUAGAUAUGAAUGACAAAUUUUUAAUCAUCUGCUUCUGUAACUCACCUGCUGACGGAGAACUUUAUAUACUGGUAUAAAACAGAUGCAACAAUCUUUUUCUCACUCAUAUCAUCAGAGAUAUCCCUCUGAAAUGACCAUCUGAAUGACUGUCAGAAUAGUCUAACUGUCUGACAAAUUAGGCUCCUGGACUUUUAUCCAUUUGAAGCCCUUCAGACUGAUAACUCAGCCUGACUGCUGGCUGAAGUGGAUUCCUCUUGUACCAAAGGAAGCGAGCACCUGUGAUGCUGUAGUGUCAGAGUAGAUGCAGACACAGCAGAAGAAAUAUGAGCCAGAGAGACAGCGAAGAUGACACGUAAUGGGAAAUAAGCCUGCCCAAUGAUCCCCAUUAACAAAUGAGUGUGCGGAGACCAGUGGAUAAAGUGUGCCUGUGCAAACAGCCACAAAUUACACAACUAAUUGCAGUGCCAGACAGACAAGCUCUUUGCAGCACUUAGUCCUGUUCUGCAACUUGUCCCCUGCCCAAGAGGGAAGUGGUAUCCAACUCCACACGCCUAUGUCCCCAGAGCAAUGACACAGCAGACAACUGCCUUCUUUUCCUUUUGAAUCUUACCUAUUAUCUCAUGAUUCCUCUCCAAAAAGGACAGGAAAAGUUGUACCCUUCUGCCUUUUUGUGUUCUCCUUUCCUGUUCCUUUUCUUUCUCUAAGGAGCCAGUAGAGCUGCACAAGCCCCACAGCAGGAGAUCUGCGUACAGUGCAAUAUUUGUUUAAAGACAUUAUUACUAGUGGGCAAAUCUAUAAUUUGGAGCCCUCCUCAGGUCCUCUCUCUGAGAACGUGAAUGCUGCCCAGAAGUUAUUUGACAGCACAUAUCCUCUAGCAGCAAACAAUCCUGAGAUUUAUUAAGGAUGAAAUCCAGCUAUUUCAUAUAAUUGACAUGGAGUGGGAUCACCUGGUGUGCCAAUCUGAGCUGCAUUUGACCCUAAAUGUUAGAGGAUUUGCUGUCUCAUCAAAUCUGUGACUCAGCCAGGCUCUGUCACCAACACCUAUUUGUGAAGGGACUUUAAAAAAGAACCAAUCAACCCAGAUUGCCUAUGUUCUCUUCUUCAUCAGUCCAAACACCAUUUGUGUGAGGAAAUUGCCCAGCAGAGUUCAUAAAGCUUUUCUAAUCUCUUGUAAUUUGCAACUGCUUUCACAAAUAAUCCAUCUUCUCAGGAACCUACUAGAACCAAGUUCAGUAACUGAGGCUACAGGAAUGAGACGUGGGGAGAAAUUCAAAGAUGGGAUCCACAGCACUAAUCCCAACAGCUCAGAUAUUACCUCCUCAUAAGUUUACACAUGAGAGGGAUACCCCUGGUAUUGGGCAGCCCAGGGACUGCUCACACCACGGUCCAUCAACCAGACAUUUAUCCUAAAAAGCCCCAUUGGGAGUUGCUCUGCAAUAUCUCAGGCUGCACACAUAUAGCACCCCUCUAUUUUAAAAGAAGACAGACAUCGGAGGAGAUGGUGUCCCCUGUGUGGUCAGAGGACUCACCAGAAAAACAGGAUGCUACAUAACAGCCAUGUAACUCAUAAAACCCACUCAUGGCUGUGUUUGCAGAUACAACCCAACAUGACACCUCACACAUUUUAUGAAGUGUGACUUUUGAAUAAAGGUAAUGUGAAUCGUCUGGCAGUGAUGCUGAUGUAACUCACUCUCUGACAAACUCAACCCUUUGCUACUAAUAACUCUAGUUAAGUUUGGGGAGAGGAUGCAGAUAAAGAAAUUGAAAUGUUUGAUAGGUUAAUCACAAAUAAAAACGGUGAUAGGCAGAGACUGAGCAAGAAAAAUCAAACCUGUAAUUGACUUUAUUAUGCUUAUUUAUUUUUGGGGUGUAGGGGUAUGAGUAUCCUGUAUCUGUUCUCAAUUUGCAGAAUUAAGUCAAACAAAGAAUUCCCACUUAGAUAUUCGGAAUGAGGAAGAAGGAGGGGGAGAAAGACAGGAGAAGGGUGGAGAAAAGAAUCAUAGUUUUCAGAAACUGUGACUUGUUACCCAUAGGCACUACAAGAUCUUGCCCUCGAGCAACUUGUACUCAGUGGUGCAAUCUUCAGAUAUGCAACAGUAGUUACAAGGGUUCUGCAAAUCUAGGAUAAUCCUCCUGCCUCUUCCUUGUGUUUUGCUACACAAAUUUACCAAAUCUCAUGCACUGAGUCCAAGGUGAGAUUUAGGGCUAUCCAAGCCCUAACGGUGAUGUGUGGAUGGAUGGGUGGAUGGAUGGAUGGAUGGAUGGAUGGAUGGAUGGAUGGAUGGAUGGAUGGGUGAAUGGGGACAGAAAGACAGAAAAAUUACAGAUAGGUGGAGUCCAGUGAUGUAUGAAAUGCAACUGAAGUACAAACAGGAAAAUUAAAGCCAUUAAAUAUUUGACACAAGAUUCCAGGAUCAUCACUGAGAUGCAAGAAAAGAAUUACAGAAAUUAUUACAUUUAGUAUUAAAUGAAAUUGAACAAUGAACAUUAUAAUUAUUUAACAAAAAAGUGUUGUGAAGGCCUUAAAAUAGAAUGAAAAAUCAAGAUUCCUGGAUUUGUACCAGUUCAUCAUUGACCUCGUGAAAGCUGCACAAUGUGAUUCACUUUACUGGCCUCUAAAAUUAUUUUUUACUGAAGCCCUAUUCUUUUACCUGUAUUAGUUUGGUCUACGUACUAGAAAUAUUACAAUAUUCAUCUUCUUGAAGCAAUCACAGACAAUUCAGUGCAAAUUCUGGCUUAAUAAAAUCCUCAGGACUUAGCCAUUUUGACAGCCUGACUAUGACAUUAUAAGUCAAGACAUAAAAGCUAAAAUUAUAUGGAUAUAACCAAUAUAAAUGAUGUAAUAGCUGAUGCAGGGAAAAUAAAGGCGUAAGAACAAACAGAAAAAUCUCUGGGCUGUUCUCCAAGAGAAUUCUCUGUGGAUGACGCUACUAUAGGAAAAUAGAAUUAAAUGUGACAAAUACGUACUAUAAAACACCAGGAAAUUGGAAGAAGAGAAAUGUCAAAAAAAAUAAUCGUGAGGUGGAAACACAGAGAAGUAUCUGAUGAAACCACCUAUGCUUGGCUGCAAGUGUGUCCCUUUGGUCUGCCCGUAACUAUUGCAACACCGAUGUUAAUGUUUGCUCCCUGGACCGAGUUGCAGAGGACAGGCAUGUGUGGAAUUCCCCGGCCGUCCUCGGGCCAUCAGCCUGCGCCUCGUUUUCUUCUUAUUUUUUCAUAGACAAAGUGCAGAUUAGUAACUUUGCAUGCUUGAAAUUGCCAAAUUUAAUCCAUAGAGCCCUAAAUCCAUACAUAUUACACAGCAUUACAAAACCUUUCUUCUUAAAAUGAGUAUGGUGAUAUUUUCAUUCCAGAUGACUUACAGGAAGUAAUUAAAGGGAUAAUUAGCAAAGAAGUGUACAAAAAUCCUUAAGCCUCUCAUGAUCAGUCUGCUUUUUUAACAAGUGGAAAUGACACUUCCACCACCCCAUUUAAGGCAGAUUGUACUGGGCAUAUACUGCAUUUUCUCCCUAGACUCAAAGCCAAAACAUCAGCUGAUCAGAUCUGCUGUGUCUUCACCUUGCUUGACGAACAGGGGUCCUUAGAGUGAUUCACAGCUCUGUCAAGGACUCCCCAAGUUACAUUUUCAGCGAAACUGUGCAUUUUCUCUUUGCCCCAGUGCAGUAUGAUCAGUUUUGUGUGUGCAGGAGAAACUAUUACAGGCAGGAACAGUCUCCCUAAAAGUAUGUCUUAUGCAUAGCAAACAGGUGUUUCAACACAGUUUUGGCCUCUGGGCACUCCUGCAAUGCAAACAAUAAUAACUGGAUGAUCAGCUGAUGGGAUAAUAACAGCACCUGCUGUUUGCCUUAAAAUAGAUAAUUGUGGCCUUGUCCUGUAUUGGUGAGAAAGGAAUGGAUAAUCACACCAUCCUUAUCCAGAAGCAAUACUACUGUGUGUACCCAUGUCAUAUAUUGCUCAGCAGCUUCCCUGCCUCCUGAGGAGCUAGAAAACAAUAGUCUUACUCCAGUCCUGCUGAAGUUCUGAAAAACCAACUAUUCAUUUGAGUAGUGUUUUCAUGGUGGGUGAACUGUGGAAGCAACCCCAUCAGCUCUCUCCACCACCUUCCACCUUCUCAGCUGCUGACAAUCACGUCGUCACCAAGGAGUGACAGGUCAGGAACCAUGCUGGGUGCAGGCUUGCAGUGCACAGCCCUGACCACAGCAAGGAGUCUUUCAGGAUUCACUCCUCUCUUUGAAGGCAAAGCAGCUGUCCGCUCUAGCUUUGCUUUCAUCUGUGUCCUCUUCUCCAGAUCGCCUUGCAGGUCAGCUUCAUGCUGCUGCUCCAGCCCUCAUCGUGCCCUCUCACUCCGCACCAGCUUCAGCCCUCCUCAGCUUCUUCUUCCUGGCAGUUAUGUCUUGUUUUAUUGCCUUCACCUUAGGGAACCCCCACUUUGGCUGCUGGUGCUGUAGUGAAUUCCUGGUGUGGAAAUAACAACCGAACAGCCUCCUUGAUGGAGCUGAAGCAUGACUGGUGGGGAUCAAUGAAGGAAGCACAAGGCUAAAGUGGAAUAUCCACUUGUGCUUUACUUGCAGCCCUUACAGCUUUGAGCCAGAGCCAUGUUGAGUCAGACAAUAAUUUUAAAACCUGAAACUGUGGUUUGGCAUGUGCAGGUUGAAUUAUCCUGACCUCCAGAGCAGGUCCAGCAUGCAAAAUAACACACCCAUUAUUAUCAGAGGAGGAGAAAAGGGCUCAGCCCCCCUAGAAUGGCAUGUUCCAGCUAUGGGCCAAAAGGCUGUUCAGGACAGUGAUGGGACUGAUUUUAUGUGAAAGGAGGCAUAACAAUAAAGUCCUAAAAUGUAAAAACUGCAAAUGAUGCAGUGACUCAGUCAAUAUGUCCAGUUCCUUGCCUUUAUCCACUCCACCACAAAACAUGACCAAGCUCUGGCCAGCCCUCAGCAGAGGACCAACCCAACUGGUGUCAGAGUUCUUCCAGCGUUGACAGCCCAACAUGUGCUAGACUCUUUUGCUGGGCCAGAGCCAGGUCAGUCAUCACCUUAUGGUGUUGAGCUCUCUCACAUCCAACAAGACAUCGAUUCUCGGCUCAGGAACUGGAUUUUUUGGGCUUCCAUCCUUUUUCAGAGAAAGCUCUUCACUUCUUAUAAGGCUGUGGCUGUGUCAGGAUAUGCUUUAUCUGUAAGUUUGCUAUUAGCAAUGUUCUGUUCUGCUAAGAUGGCAUCAAUAAAGAAACAAAACUGCACAGAAGCAUAUAGAAUACAAAUAUAGAAUACAAAUUUAAAUAAUGUUAGCAAUGAACAAAGCAUUGGUAAGUAAUGCUAACGAAAGCAAACAAACAAACAAACAAACAAACAAACCUUAGAGGGGUUUUAUAGUCUUUUUUUACUAUUGUAGGAUAAUAAUUGUUGUUCUGAUGUACUAAUUUUACCCUGAUUUUUGUUUUCUUUGAUUGCAUGAGCUUUUUUUAAUUCCUGGCAAUUUGAGAUUCAAAAACUAGUUUAGGUAAAUGGAACAAAUUAUUUCAAUUGCCAGUCUUGUUCUUUGUAAACAUUUGCCCAUGGCACAAAUCUAGCACACAUUUUGAUAAAGCUGUCAUGGAGGUCUGUACGGGCAAAAAGAAAGUGUGAGGAGCAUUUGAUAAAGAGAAGCCAUUUCAAUACUGACUAAUGCUAUGCUUAGCCACUUCAGAACCAAAACCUUGAAUUUAUACUAAAUUCAUACACAUCUAUCAAUCAAGCAUCUGGACAGCAAGCAGCCGUUCUGUUUGUAGGGCCCAGAAGCAGUUAAGCAGCAGAAGCAUCUUUGCUGGGAGCAGAUAAUGUCCCCAGCCUGCAGAACAGAAUGAGGUCUCUGGGGCAUGGGGGAUCUUUACCAGGGAGGAGGAAAAAACAGGACAGUGUGCUGCUGGCCAUACCAGAGAAGGGACAUUGCUCAUGGAAAUUGCUAUGCCCUGCAGGCUUAUACUCUAGUGCUCAUUCAGACAAUUUCAAUGGCCAUGCUGCAAAAAUUCCCCACAGCAGAAAAGGUGUGACUGAUGGAAUUUUAUACAGCAUUGGGGGAAAGUGAAAAGUUCAAACCACAACAAAAGGCAUUUAUUUCUUAACUCAGGCAAAACACCCGUUCACUUCCUCUUGACCAUAUCUGGCAAAGUCCACAUUGUCCUCACUGAGGGUUUUAGCUGAAUAAAGUCUCACCCUGCAAGAUUUAGUUCCCAAAACAGUGAGGAGUUAAUGACAGGCAGUUUUCAAUGAUUAUCUCAUAUAAUUGAUUGCUGUCUUCCAUCCCCAUUAUUAAAGAGCUAUACAUGUUAUGGCUAAUGAGUGCCUUAGCAUGAGCUUAAUUGCAUCUCCAGUUAUCAAUGAAGUAUCUAUUGAAAUACCUGGGGAGCAGUGAAGAAUUUGUCUUUGUUUCGGAAGUGAAAACUCUGAGAUGUGAAACAGUUCGGAAAAUUCACAGCCACUGUCAAUAUUUCUAUUCAGCCAGUCAGCAUUCCAGUUUUUUCCCAGUCUUUCAGGACUGAAUAUAUUUCAGCAACUAUCACACUUUGCAUAUUGAGGGCAAGAAGAACUGAUGUUGCAUUAUUAGUGCCACUUCAUUCCUACUACUGUCUUCCUACUCUUCAGUCUGAAAAGAAAAACAGUUCAAACUCAGAGCAAACCUUUGAAAAAUCAGUAUCAGCCAUGUAUAGGUCUUUGGGAGAAAAAUUAAUUUCUUUCCUGUGUUUCACAGAACACAUGAGCUUCCUUAGCUGUCAUAGUAUGUCUUCAGAAUAUCAUCUAAAAACAGCAAUGUCAAACUCAUUUUCACUGGGGGGGCACGUCAGC